CAGCAGCCACGGUAAAACGUAGGGUGCGAGCGUUAAUCGGAAUUACUGGGCGUAAAGCGUGCGCAGGCGGUUCGUUAAGACAGAUGUGAAAUCCCCGGGCUUAACCUGGGAACUGCAUUUGUGACUGGCGAGCUAGAGUAUGGCAGAGGGGGGUAGAAUUCCACGUGUAGCAGUGAAAUGCGUAGAGAUGUGGAGGAAUACCGAUGGCGAAGGCAGCCCCCUGGGCCAAUACUGACGCUCAUGCACGAAAGCGUGGGGAGCAAACAGGAUUAGAUACCCCCGUAGUCCCUGUCUCUUAUAC
rnacentral:rRNA from 1 species